UUGAUACUUUUCCCCAAAAAUCAUUUUGAUUUAUAUUUAGCUGCUUGGGGGUGUGAGGGGAAGAAACACAGGAAGCUGGUCUAGACACCAGGGAUUUGACACUUUUUCUUUGACCGGGAUUGUCCACUUCUUUCUAGGGUGGGUGCAAACUGAAUCAUACAGUUGAGAAACUGAGUACUUUGGCAAUACUGUCACCUGCACGCAUGAAAGAGGGGCAGCAUUUCAUAUGGGAUCUGCAUCAUGACAGCUCUAUAUACCUAACCAGAACCCAAGCUACUGUGUAAGGAAACCACAUACUACUGCGAGCAGAAAAUAACAAAUUGUCCUUUUCUGCUCAAACACCUUCAGAGACCAUCGCUGUCAAGAGAAAGGAAAUGCUCUGGAAUAUUUGGGGUUUACAUCUGUGUUCCCCAGCACAUCUGGCUUCCGUUUUUCAGAUGUGAAUUCUGUAGGAGGCCAGUUAUGCUCAGACCUGAGCUGUCACAACACAGAAGAAAAUGUACCAACAGGAUGACUAAGCAGUCUUGUUUUGAAUUCCUAAAUAAUGACCAGCAUGAGUCAACCUGGCAAAUUCUGAAGUCCACAGAAGAAAACUGAUGCAAAAUAGAAAGGAUAAAUAAAUGCCAUUGGGAAUGCAUUAUAUAAAAGUUCUUAUUGCCAGCACCUGAAAAAAGGACUCUAAGUGUUGCCUCCUAAUCUCAUCCCCACAUGCUAGCUACAGUACCAUCUAAUUGUAAGGCUUUCUAAUCUAUGGCACGAGACUGUAGAGCCUAAAAUGCUACCGAUGUUUGCAAUAAACAGUUCCUUUAUGGCAUGCACCCUC